rnacentral:rRNA from 1 species
GACGAACGCUGGCGGCGUGCUUAACACAUGCAAGUCGAACGAAGUGGCGAACGGGUGAGUAACGCGUAAUCAACCUGCCCUUCAGAGGGGGGCAACAGUUGGAAUCGACUGCUAAUACCGCAUACUGAAGGAGGGGAUUGCGUUUGAUUGGCUGGUUGGAGGGGGAACGGCCCACCAAGGCGAUGACAAGUAGCCGGUCGGGGAUGGUGAACGGCCACAUGUGGAGUUGGACACGGCCCAGACUCCUACGGGAGGCAGCAGUGGGGAGUCUUCCGGAAUGGACGAAAGUCUGACGGAGCAACGCUGCGUGAGUGAUGACGGCCUUCGGGUUGUAAAGCUCUGUUAAUCGGGACGCGGUACCGGAAUAGAAAGCCACAGCUAACUACGUGCCAGCCGCCGCGGUAAUUC